rnacentral:rRNA from 1 species
UUCUGGACGUCGACCGGCGCACGGGUGAGUAUCGCGUAUCCAACCUGCCCCUUACUUGGGGAUACCCCGUCGAAAGACGGCCUAAUACCCGAUGUGUUUCAUUGACGGCAUCCGAUAUGAAACAAAGGUUUUCCGGUAAGGGAUGGGGAUGCGUCUGAUUAGCUAGUUGGCGGGGCAACGGCCCACCAAGGCGACGAUCAGUAGGGGUUCUGAGAGGAAGGUCCCCCACAUUGGAACUGAGACACGGUCCAA